rnacentral:rRNA from 1 species
UACGUAGGGUGCAGGCGUUAAUCGGAAUUACUGGGCGUAAAGCGUGCGCAGGCGGUUUGCUAAGACAGGUGUGAAAUCCCCGGGGCUUAACCUGGGAACUGCGCUUGUAACUGGCAAGCUGGAGUGUGGCAGAGGGGGGUGGAAUUCCACGGUGUAGCAGUGAAAUGCGUAGAGAUGUGGAGGAACACCGAUGGCGAAGGCAGCCCCCUGGGCUAACACUGACGCUCAUGCACGAAAGCGUGGGGAGCAAACAGG